rnacentral:lncRNA from 13 species
CUCACAGACAGACACAAAGGCAGAGUCAGCAGACUUGUACUAAGCACAGAUAACACACGAACUAACAAUGAGAUGGUGACUCCCAUGUUUUCGUCUGUGAAACACUACCUCUUAAUACUGUAUCGCACAAGAGUAUUAGUAAUUAUGUUAAUUUUGUAUUUUACUUUUCAGUUAUGAUUAACUAGUGAAAAAGACUUCCAAUCCAACAUAUUUUACGCCAUCACAGCUUGUGUAAACAAAAUGAUUUGCCCAUCUGAAACAACGCUCCUCGGGCAUCUAUUCGCCUAUUGAAGAUACAGACUGGAGCCUGGUGUUGGCCCUAAUAAAGGCCUGAUCUUCUUUGGCCAUAAUGGAUUGUAUGAGUGGAGUGGGGCUUCUGACUGGCCACUGCAUUAGGAGUCAGGGCUGUGGCAACUGCAGCUCUCGGGACUGAAGAGACUGGAGAGUACUUAACGCUGGUCUGGGAGUGGAAGAGAGUGGAGGCCUCCCUGCCCACAGUCUCCUUCCCCGUGCCCCUGAAAACCACAGCUGACCACCGGGGCACUGGGAAAUGAGACCAGGGAAACCACCGGCCAGCCCCGGGGUGGAAAACAACGAGUCGGAUACAGAAGGUGUGAAAUGGAUACAGAAGGUGUGCGCAGGAUACAGAUGGUGUGAAAUGGAUACAGAAGGUGUGCACAGGAUACAGAAGGUGUGAAAUGGAUACAGAAGGUGUGCACAGGAUACAGAUGGUGUGAAAUGGAUACAGAAGGUGUGCACAGGAUACAGAUGGUGUGAAAUGGAUACAGAAGGUGUGCACAGGAUACAGAAGGUGUGAAAUGGAUACAGAAGGUGUGCACAGGAUACAGAUGGUACAGUGAAAUGGUCAUUGGCAUAGAAGCAACAUCAAAAAAAGAAAAUGUCUAGCUAAAAAUAUUUUAGAAUUAUUAGAUCAUGUUUACCCAGACAGACUUGUCUAAAUUGAUGGGUCAUGUGAAAUAAAUGUUAUAACCACCCCCAGCCACGUCUAACUAAGCGGAUGGGUCGCUAUUUUCUAGACAUGUUCAUGAACGACAAUAGAUGGCCGUAAUCACCCCCAGACACACCUGGCUAACUUGAAGGGUCAUGUAAUCAUCUGUCAAAGUGGAUUCUUUUGUUUGGACAUGUAGCUAGCUCAACAACGAACCAGCAUAAUCCCAACUCACACUAAUACCAAUACAAACAUUGUCAUAGCUGUAGUAUAAAUCUGCAGUUAACUAAAGCUAACCAACUAGGUUCAAUGUUAGCUAGCUAACAAUAGGCUAUAACUAGCAAAUGCAAAUUGAUUUCUGAUUCAAAUAAUAGUACUACACAGAUCAUAAGCGUAACGUUAGCUAGCGAGCCAGCGAGCCAGCGAGCUAACAUUCGUUAGCUAGCGAAAAAUACACUUUAACUUGCAAUGAAAACGACUUUCUGACAAAAUUAGAAAUGUAUAAUAUCUGAACAUUUAGCUAGACUCUUACCUGUAUAUAUGGAUGAACGCUUCACGGCAGACUGGAACCAUUUAACUCAGUU